GACGAACGCUGGCGGCGUGCCUAAUACAUGCAAGUCGAACGAGAGCGACUGGUGCUUGCACUGGUCAAUCUAGUGGCGAACGGGUGAGUAACACGUGGGUAACCUGCCCAUCAGAGGGGGAUAACAUUCGGAAACGGAUGCUAAAACCGCAUAGGUCUUCGAACCGCAUGGUUUGAAGAGGAAAAGAGGCGCAAGCUUCUGCUGAUGGAUGGACCCGCGGUGCAUUAGCUAGUUGGUGAGGUAACGGCUCACCAAGGCCGUGAUGCAUAGCCGACCUGAGAGGGUGAUCGGCCACAUUGGGACUGAGACACGGCCCAAACUCCUACGGGAGGCAGCAGUAGGGAAUCUUCCGCAAUGGACGCAAGUCUGACGGAGCAACGCCGCGUGAGUGAAGAAGGUUUUCGGAUCGUAAAACUCUGUUGUUAGAGAAGAACAAGUGCUAGAGUAACUGUUAGCGCCCUUGAC
rnacentral:rRNA from 1 species